GGAUUAGAUACCCUGGUAGUCCACGCCGUAAACGAUGUGUGCUAGGUGUUGGAGGCGUUUACCCCUUCAGUGCCGCAGUUAACGCAUUAAGCACACCGCCUGGGGAGUACGGUCGCAAGAUUAAAACUCAAAGGAAUUGACGGGGGCCCGCACAAGCGGUGGAGUAUGUGGUUUAAUUCGACGCAACGCGCAGAACCUUACCCGGCCUUGACAGCCUGGGAACAUCUGUGAAAGCAGGUGGUGCCCCCUUACGGGGGAACUCAGGUACAGGUGCUGCAUGGCUGUCGUCAGCUCGUGCUG
rnacentral:rRNA from 1 species